AUCCAGCUGAUGAAUCCCAAAUGAGACGAAACGCUCAUCCUGCAU
rfam:Schistosoma haematobium C9871257_1, whole genome shotgun sequence.